GGGUUGUGAGGUUAAGCGACCAAGCGUACACGGUGGAUGCCCUGGCAGUCAGAGGCGAUGAAGGACGUGCUAAUCUGCGAAAAGCGCCGGUAAGGUGAUAUGAACCGUUAUAACCGGCGAUGUCCGAAUGGGGAAACCCAGUGUGACUCGUCACACUAUCAUUAACUGAAUCCAUAGGUUAAUGAGGCGAACCGGGGGAACUGAAACAUCUAAGUACCCCGAGGAAAAGAAAUCAACCGAGAUUCCCCCAGUAGCGGCGAGCGAACGGGGAGGAGCCCAGAGCCUGAAUCAGCAUGUGUGUUAGUGGAAGCGUCUGGAAAGGCGCGCGAUACAGGGUGAGAGCCCCGUACACAAAAGCGCACAUGCUGUGAGCUCGAUGAGUAGGGCGGGACACGUGGUAUCCUGUCUGAAUAUGGGGGGACCAUCCUCCAAGGCUAAAUACUCCUGACUGACCGAUAGUGAACCAGUACCGUGAGGGAAAGGCGAAAAGAACCCCGGCGAGGGGAGUGAAACAGAACCUGAAACCGUGUACGUACAAGCAGUGGGAGCCUCUCUUUAUG
rnacentral:rRNA from 1 species